CCUACGGGUGGCAGCAGUGGGGGAUAUUGCACAAUGGGGGGAACCCUGAUGCAGCGACGCCGCGUGGGUGAAGAAGCGCCUCGGCGCGUAAAGCCCUGUCAGCAGGGAAGAAAAUGACGGUACCUGAAGAAGAAGCCCCGGCUAACGACGUGCCAGCAGCCGCGGUAAUACGUAGGGGGCAAGCGUUAUCCGGAUUUACUGGGGGGAAAGGGGGCGCAGACGGCGAUGCAGGCCAGGAGUGAAAGCCCGGGGCCCAACCCCGGGACUGCUCUUGGAACUGCGUGGCUGGAGUGCAGGAGGGGCAGGCGGAAUUCCUGGUGUAGCGGUGAACUGCGUCGAUAUCAGGAGGCACCCCGGUGGC
rnacentral:rRNA from 1 species